GGGCGAGUGGCGGAAUCGGUAUACGCGACAGACUUAAAAUCUGUUGGUCUAAACAACCUUGCGGGUUCAAGUCCCGCCUCGCCUACCA
rnacentral:tRNA from 1 species